rnacentral:rRNA from 1 species
UACGUAGGGUGCAAGCGUUGUCCGGAAUUAUUGGGCGUAAAGAGCUCGUAGGCGGUUUGUCGCGUCUGCUGUGAAAACUCGGGGCUUAACUCCGGGCCUGCAGUGGGUACGGGCAGACUAGAGUGCGGUAGGGGAGACUGGAAUUCCUGGUGUAGCGGUGAAAUGCGCAGAUAUCAGGAGGAAUACCGGUGGCGAAAGCGACUCUCUGGACGGCAACUGACGCUGAGGCACGAAAGCGUGGGGAGCAAACAGG